CAAGCUCAGACUGUUACUGAGCCAGAAUGUGAAGAAGAGGCUGUUCUGCUGUGCGACACAUUCUGACUCUCAUUUCAGCAUACAACAGGAUGUGUGGAGUGACAAGUCUAGACUUGUUCUGAAACAGAAACUCAUUGGUUCUGAAUGACGGGAUGGAUGGUUGAUGCUGGUUACUCCAGUAGCUCAGUCCAUAGGGACUUGGGUUGGGAAACGGAGGGUUGCCUGUUCAAGUCCCCGUCCGGACCAAAUAUGGAACGUGGACUGGUAGCUGGAGAGAUGCCAGUUCACCUCCUGGGCACUGCCGAGGUGCCCUUGAGCAAGUCACUAAACCCCCAACCGCUCGGGGCAAGGCAGCCCCCUCACUCUGACAUCUCUCCACUUUGUGCAUGUAUAGGUCCUGUUUGUGCAUGUGUGUGUCUUUCGGACCUGUGUGUUAAUGACAAAAGAGUGAAAAAAUUGAUUUUUUUAAAAAAAUAAAGUAUAUAUAAUCAAAAGUAAAAA